rnacentral:rRNA from 1 species
CGGCUCUUUAAGUCAGUGGUGAAAUCUUGCCGCUUAACGGUAAAAUUGCCAUUGAUACUGAAGAGCUUGAGUACAGUUGAGGUAGGCGGAAUGUGUAGUGUAGCGGUGAAAUGCUUAGAUAUUACACAGAACACCAAUUGCGAAGGCAGCUUACUAAACUGAUACUGACGCUGAUGCACGAAAGCGUGGGGAGCGAACAGGAUUAGAUACCCUGGUAGUCCACGCCGUAAACGAUGCUCACUCGCUGUUUGCGAUACACAGCAAGCGGCCAAGCGAAAGCAUUAAGUGAGCCACCUGGGGAGUACGAUCGCAAGGUUGAAACUCAAAGGAAUUGACGGGGGCCCGCACAAGCGGAGGAACAUGUGGUUUAAUUCGAUGAUACGCGAGGAACCUUACCUGGGCUUAAAUGUAGAGCGACAGAUUGUGAAAGCAGUCCUUCUUCGGACGAUCUACAAGGUGCUGCAUGGUUGUCGUCAGCUCGUGCCGUGAGGUGUCGGGUUAAGUCCCAUAACGAGCGCAACCCUUAUCGUUAGUUGCCAGCGGGUCAAGCCGGGGACUCUAGCGAGACUGCCACCGUAAGGUGUGAGGAAGGUGGGGAUGACGUCAAAUCAGCACGGCCCUUAUGUCCAGGGCUACACACGUGUUACAAUGGCAAGUACAAAGGGCAGCUACCCCGUGAGGGGAUGCUAAUCUCUAAAGCUUGUCUCAGUUCGGAUCGAAGUCUGCAACCCGACUUCGUGAAGCUGGAUUCGCUAGUAAUCGC